rnacentral:rRNA from 1 species
AUGCGCGAGGAGGACUGCGAUCUGCUCACGGAGCAGGACAGGCUCGACUUCCACGCCUUCAAGAAGAAGAUGGGCCCUGCCAUGCGCCUCAUCGUCAAGUCCACGCUCGACAACACCUUCUUCAACCCCAUACAGUUCAGCGACACAAAGGAGGAGCACCUGAGCGCCGAGGACAUGGAAGCACAAAUAUCAGCACGAUUUCCUGAUCGCAAGCCUUGCCAACAAGCAAAAGACUUUGCUGAACUUGCUCUGGCGCACUACAAUGAGAAGAACAAGACGAGCGGGUUUGAGUUGGCCACGACUCUGCUAUCGAAUUGCUUCUCUGAGUCGUCUGGGGACAUUUAUGGCCAUGUUAAUUUCACCGCCGUUCCUAAGAAGCAGACUGCUUCAAAGACCAAGAGGCUGUGCUUUGCUGAGCUUAUGCAUACUCCAAGCCUUGAAGCAUAUGCAAGGGCUCAGCCUAUGCGCGUGCUGCGUGUGUGCACCAUUGAUGAUGAUUCUUGUUAUGGUAUGUAUUUCAACCCUCUUAAUGUAUUUUUUCUAUGGCCAAGCUGUUAA